rnacentral:lncRNA from 1 species
CUCACCGUUGCCAUGGUUUUCUCCUCUGUGCCUGGGAUCAGGCUGGCAGCUUCCCUGCUCUCGUGGUAACUGUGCUCCUUCGAAGCCUCAUCUGGCUUCCAGGCAGUCUGGUAGCUGUGUUAAAAUUCCAGUGCUCUCUGCAGGAUGAGGAAGGGUUGCAGAGCAGCAAGGACAAGAGCAAAGAGAGGAGGACACUUUGCUACUUAUAGUCUGUAGGGAGACUGUCUGAAAGGAGGAGAUGGCCUGGCUCUCUUUGUCUCUCUACCUUCCCUCUCAUCAGCCCUCGGCGUCAGCUGCAAGACCAGAGUGGUCGGCUUGCUCAGCAUCUGCACAGGCUCAGAGGGCCUUGCACAGCUUGGAGCUUUUCCAUGCUCCCCGACACAGGGUAAGGUUCGAAGCCAACUCUGACUUGACUGGGCUUUAUAAAUCCAAAUCAGAGCUGGCCCUGAAGGACUUGACAAGGUUGUACCGGCUAAAAGACAACUGCUUUAUCUUCAAAAAGAAAAAGCGCGAUGGAUCACUAGACGAUCCUUUCACUUUAAUACAGUGCAAGCAAGUUAUGGAAGCAAAGAAGGAUGCAGAAACCAUCGGCGUGAUCCAAUUCGAAGAAAGUUAAUGACAAAUCCAGCCAGAGUGAACAGAUGGAGUGACAAGUGACAGCCCAUCUUAUAUAUAUGAAUGUUUGUGCUUCCCCAUCUGCGUGAGAUGUGUCCAUUGACUUGCUUUGACCAAUGGGGGAAGACACGUGUGUCUUCUUUGUGUAAAAGAACUGCUUUGUUCUCCACCACUUUCUUGCCCUUGCUACAGCAAUGGGAGACUCCCAAUGAUGGAGCCUUCAUCAGCCUGAGUCUCUGAGUGAGGAUUUUGUAGAGAAGAGCCCCUCACAAAUCUAAAGAUGGACGUGUCACAUAAGUGAGAAAUAAACCAUGGAUUUAAGUCAUGGAAAUGUGUUGUUGUUAUUGGAGCAAAGCUUAGCCUACCCG